rnacentral:rRNA from 1 species
CCAAGGCCGGCAAAGGGAGCAAUCCCGGCCACGGAUGGGCAUGCGGCGCAUUAGCUAGUCGGCGGGGUAACGGCCCACCGAGGCGACGAUGCGUAGGGGUUCUGAGAGGAAGGCCCCCCACACUGGUACUGAGACACGGACCAGACUCCUACGGGAGGCAGCAGUGAGGAAUAUUGGUCAAUGGGCGCGAGCCUGAACCAGCCAAGUCGCGUGAGGGAGGACGGCCCUACGGGUUGUAAACCUCUUUUGCCGGGGAGCAACGGGCGCCACGUGUGGCGCCACUGAGAGUACCCGGAGAAAAAGCAUCGGCUAACUCCGUGCCAGCAGCCGCGGUAAUACGGAGGAUGCGAGCGUUAUCCGGAUUUAUUGGGUUUAAAGGGUGCGUAGGCGGAUCGUUAAGUCAGUGGUCAAAUUGAGGGGCUCAACCCCUUCCCGCCAUUGAAACUGGCGCUCUUGAGUGGAAGAGAAGUAUGCGGAAUGCGUGGUGUAGCGGUGAAAUGCAUAGAUAUCACGCAGAACCCCGAUUGCGAAGGCAGCAUGCCGGCUUCCUACUGACGCUGAAGCACGAAAGCGUGGGGAUCGAACAGGAUUAGAUACCCUGGUAGUCCACGCGGUAAACGAUGAGCGCUAGGUGUCCGGGGGGAAUGGCCCCUGGGUGC